UCGAAGGCACGGGUGGAACGGACUCUUAAUCCGUAGGUUCAGGGUUCGAUUCCCUGGCGACCCA
rnacentral:tRNA from 1 species